GCAGGCGGGUUUAAUCCCGUCCUUAUCAAGC
rnacentral:tRNA from 1 species